CGCUGGCGGCAGGCCUAACACAUGCAAGUCGAGCGGAUGACGGGAGCUUGCUCCCUGAUUCAGCGGCGGACGGGUGAGUAAUGCCUAGGAAUCUGCCUGGUAGUGGGGGACAACGUCUCGAAAGGGACGCUAAUACCGCAUACGUCCUACGGGAGAAAGUGGGGGAUCUUCGGACCUCACGCUAUCAGAUGAGCCUAGGUCGGAUUAGCUAGUUGGUGAGGUAAUGGCUCACCAAGGCGACGAUCCGUAACUGGUCUGAAAGGAUGAUCAGUCACACUGGAACUGAGACACGGUCCAGACUCCUACGGGAGGCAGCAGUGGGGAAUAUUGGACAAUGGGCGAAAGCCUGAUCCAGCCAUGCCGCGUGUGUGAAGAAGGUCUUCGGAUUGUAAAGCACUUUAAGUUGGGAGGAAGGGCAUUAACCUAAUACGUUGGUGUUUUGACGUUACCGACAGAAUAAGCACCGGCU
rnacentral:rRNA from 1 species